rnacentral:misc_RNA from 1 species
GAUGAAGAACGCAGCGAAAUGCGAUAAGUAGUGUGAAUUGCAGAAUUCAGUGAAUCAUCGAAUCUUUGAACGCACAUUGCGCCUCCUGGCAUUCCGGGAGGCAUGCCUGUUCGAGCGUCAUCAAACCCCAUCGUGCAAAUGAAUUAUUUUUUUUGCGCGGAAGUGACGAUUGAGCGAGAAUAACAAAUCCUCUCGCACCUCGUCGAAAUGAUUGCGGGCGGAAUUUGGGAUCGGGUUCCUCGGCGUAGUGUAUCAAUGCAUAUUUAUGUAACUUGCCGCGGAGUUGAGCCUGACCCACGCGUUCUCGCCGUACAAACACCUCAUUACUUUACAAGUUUUUGACCUCGGAUCAGGUAGGGAUACCCGCUGAACUUAAGCAUAUCAAUAAGCGGAGGA